UAGGGAAUCUUCCGCAAUGGACGAAAGUCUGACGGAGCAACGCCGCGUGAGCGAAGAAGGCCUUCGGGUCGUAAAGCUCUGUUGUUAGGGAAGAACAAGUACCGCAGUCACUGGCGGUACCUUGACGGUACCUAACGAGGAAGCCACGGCUAACUACGUGCCAGCAGCCGCGGGAAUACGUAGGGGGCAAGAGUUGUCCGGAAUUAUUUGGCGUAAAGCGUACGUGGGCGGGUUUUCAAGGCUUGGGGU
rnacentral:rRNA from 1 species